ACCUGUGAAUCGAAAGCCACAGAGCGUUUCUGCGAUUUGUACUGAUACUGUGUGGGAUGGUUGCAUAACGCGCCUGGAAUACUUGAUCGGUCGAGUCCGGUUAAUUGCACCAGGGCAAAAACUCUGUUAGCAUACAUCAGCACUCGAGUCCCCAGGCUCGAGCCUGGAUAACUGGCGGUAUUCGAGUCAAACCUGUCGGGG
rnacentral:lncRNA from 1 species